rnacentral:lncRNA from 1 species
CUGGGGCCCCGUGUGGGGAAACACCUGGUGCCUGGGUGCUGCAGAACACUAGCAUUGUGCAUUCAUAGUGGAGCACUGACUAAUAUUAAACCCAAAGCAUUUGGAGGUAUUAUUUGCAGUUUGUUUGGAGGCUCGGUAUGAGGAGGACUAGAGAUGAACAGUGAGGAGAAAUCCCUGAAGCUUAAAAUGUGCUCCAAGGAUGUGAUAGGAACGCAGCUGGAUUUGGAGUCUGAUGGCAUGGACUGGGGCCUCAAG